GUUAUACUCAUUCCUAGGAACCUAUGGCUGGCCUGGAUGCCAAUAUUCUGCUAUGCUGUUCCGAAUAUCUGACUUCCGUUUGACCAGCUGCCACGUUAUGCAGAAAGCUCCAUCCCCAUGGAAAAUUCAAACAUCAGACAGCAGCACUGCCCUUCCCUGUGCACAUUAAGAGGCUGACCCACAUACUCAUGGAAGGAGGGUCGUCCCAUCUCUGCGCUGGAAUCCGGGAUGCUUUACCACAGAAAGAACUGUUAAUACACUAGCUUGGAUGACAAUUCAAUUAGCACGGAGUUCUUUGUAUAAAGCAAUCUAUUUGGACCUAAAAUAUUUUAAAAGUGUACACAUCUUCUCCAUAAGAAAAAUUCAGGAUUAGAUCAGAAUUCCUCCCGCUUCUCAGCGGUGCUGCAAGCUGAUUGGCCUACGUGGAGGAGUCGGCUACAAAGAGCAUUCCUAAAUUUCAUCUGUGCUGAGCAUAGAAGAGGAAGUUGGUUUUAAGACACAGAUCACUUAUCUUCUGGAUGAAAGACAGAUCGGAUUUCCAAAACUUCCAUUUUCCCAUUUCAUGUCGUCCGCAAGGAAAACGGCUGAAGAUGAAGACAGCACACUUUGAGAGAUUGAAUAAACAUCCCCCAAACAGCAGAAGGAGUAGCCAGAACACAGAUUUACUUGCCUAGCUUCAAAUCCAGUAUGUUUACCAGGCAUUCAGAUUUUGAUUCCUGAGAUUCUUCUCUCUGCUGCAAAUCAUGAUGCUUACCCUUAUGGAAAAAUAAAAGAUGGUGUGAGAUGAACCCUGGCCACACUCUCCUUACCGUCUAGAAGUGAAGAUGAGGUUAGAGAGUCUCUACAAUCUCUUUCUUCCAAAGAGCUGUCCUCCAUCGACACCGAACACCUGUAGUUUUAAUACAGCUUCCGCACACAGAGUUUCCUUGCUUUCUCUUGCUUGGAUUUUGGAUUAUAUCAUUACAAGGUCAUUGAAGUUUAUUACAGGGAAACCGAUGUCCAAAGAGUAUCAAGAAACUGAAGCUUCCCAGAGCCCAACUCCUCGGCUUCCUGGCACCAGAAUCCACCAUCUAGCACGAAGGCAGACAACCAAGGACAUUAACCUGCAGAUCCCCUCAUCUCAUCAUCUACCCUCUCUGCUAGCAGUCUGACAAAGCCAAACACAGUCUGGUGGGAAAGCACUGACCAGCAAGGUCACGGGCUCCCCUUCCCUACAAGCAGCAAAACUUUAAAACCCUUUAUCCCCUUCUUAAUGGAGAGCCAGAAGUCCCUAAGCCAUUAGCCAACUGGUAUUCCCUUUGCCUGGCAAAGAAAAUAAUGAAACCCUUUUUUUCCUUUUCACCCAAAACUCUGUUCUCAUUUGGAUUGGCACUGAGUUCGGAGACCGAACUUUCAGUAACAACCUCACAAUUUACAAAUGUGUGGAAAAACUCUCUUUUCCCCCAACUUUCUGUUUUGAUAAAUUUCAAACCAGCAGCAAAUUUGAAAGAAGAGUAUAGUAUAAACACCCAUGUAUUCUUCAUAUAUUCACACACAUUUUUGCUGAAC
ensembl:lncRNA